AUACGUAUGGGGCAAGCGUUAUCCGGAUUCAUUGGGCGUAAAGCGCGUGUAGGCGGCUUGUUAAGUCAGAUGUGAAAACCGGGGGCUUAACCCGCGGCGUGCAUCUGAAACUGGCAGGCUCGAGUCUGGUAGAGGAAAGUGGAAUUCCUAGUGUAGCGGUGAAAUGCGCAGAUAUUAGGAGGAACACCAGUGGCGAAGGCGGCUUUCUGGGCCACGACUGACGCUGAGACGCGAAAGCUAGGGGAGCAAACAGGAUUAGAAACCCCAGUAGUCC
rnacentral:rRNA from 1 species